rnacentral:rRNA from 1 species
GACGAACGCUGGCGGCGUGCUUAACACAUGCAAGUCGAACGGAAAGGCCCUGCUUUUGUGGGGUGCUCGAGUGGCGAACGGGUGAGUAACACGUGAGUAACCUGCCCUUGACUUUGGGAUAACUUCAGGAAACUGGGGCUAAUACCGGAUAGGAGCUCCUGCUGCAUGGUGGGGGUUGGAAAGUUUCGGCGGUUGGGGAUGGACUCGCGGCUUAUCAGCUUGUUGGUGGGGUAGUGGCUUACCAAGGCUUUGACGGGUAGCCGGCCUGAGAGGGUGACCGGCCACAUUGGGACUGAGGUACGGCCCAGACUCCUACGGGGGGCAGCAGUGGGGAAUAUUGCACAGUGGGCGGAAGCCUGAUGCAGCGACGCCGCGUGCGGGAUGACGGCCUUCGGGUUGUAAACCGCUUUCGCCUGUGACGAAGCGUGAGUGACGGUAAUGGGUAAAGAAGCACCGGCUAACUACGUG